rnacentral:rRNA from 1 species
CUACGGGUUGCUGCAGUGAGGAAUAUUGCGCAAUGGGGGCAACCCUGACGCAGCGACGCCGCGUGGAUGAUGAAGGCCUUCGGGUUGUAAAAUCCUGUCAGAUGGGAAGAAGUGUAGAGUAGUUAAUAUCUGCUCUAUUUGACGGUACCAUCAAAGGAAGCACCGGCUAACUCCGUGCCAGCAGCCGCGGUAAUACGGAGGGUGCAAGCGUUGUUCGGAAUUACUGGGCGUAAAGCGCGCGUAGGCGGCUGUAUAAGUCAGAUGUGAAAGUCCACGGCUCAACCGUGGAAGUGCAUUUGAAACUGUACAGCUUGAGUACUGGAGGGGAUGGUGGAAUUCCCGGUGUAGAGGUGAAAUUCGUAGAGAUCGGGAGGAAUACCGGUGGCGAAGGCGACCAUCUGGCCAGAUACUGACGCUGAGGUGCGAAAGCGUGGGGAGCAAACAGGAUUAGAUACCCUUGUAGUC